rnacentral:rRNA from 1 species
UACGGGGGGGGCAAGCGUUGUUCGGAAUUACUGGGCGUAAAGGGCUCGUAGGCGGCCAACUAAGUCGGAUGUGAAAUCCCCAGGCUUAACCUGGGAACUGCAUCCGAUACUGGAUGGCUUGAAUCCGGGAGAGGGAUGCAGAAUUCCAGGUGUAGCGGUGAAAUGCGUAGAUAUCUGGAGGAACACCGGUGGCGAAGGCGGCGUUCUGGACUGCAACUGACACUGAGAAACGAAAGCCAGGGUAGCAAACGGG